rnacentral:rRNA from 1 species
UACGUAGGGUGCAAGCGUUUGUCCGGAAUUACUGGGCGUAAAGGGCUCGUAGGUGGCCAACUAAGUCAGACGUGAAAUCCCUCGGCUUAACCGGGGAACUGCGUCUGAUACUGGAUGGCUUGAGUUUGGGAGAGGGAUGCGGAAUUCCAGGUGUAGCGGUGAAAUGCGUAGAUAUCUGGAGGAACACCGGUGGCGAAGGCGGCAUCCUGGACCAACACUGACACUGAGGAGCGAAAGCCAGGGGAGCAAACGGG